GACGAACGCUGGCGGCGUGCUUAACACAUGCAAGUCGAACGGAGUUCCUCAGAUCAAGACUUCGGUCAAGUGAACUGGAACUUAGUGGCGGACUGGUGAGUAACGCGUGAGGAACCUGCCUUUCAGAGGGGGACAACAGUUGGAAACGACUGCUAAUACCGCAUGAUGUACAUUUGGGACAUCCCGAGUGUACCAAAGGAGCAAUCCGCUGAAGGAUGGCCUCGCGUCCGAUUAGAUAGUUGGUGGGGUAACGGCCCACCAAGUCGACGAUCGGUAGCCGGACUGAGAGGUUGAACGGCCGCAUUGGGACUGAGACACGGCCCAGACUCCUACGGGAGGCAGCAGUGGGGGAUAUUGCACAAUGGGCGCAAGCCUGAUGCAGCAACGCCGCGUGAGGGAUGACGGUACCUUUGGAGGAAGCCCCGGCUAACUACGUG
rnacentral:rRNA from 1 species